GGAGGAUCCGAGCGUUAUCCGGAUUUAUUGGGUUUAAAGGGAGCGUAGAUGGAUGUUUAAGUCAGUUGUGAAAGUUUGCGGCUCAACCGUAAAAUUGCAGUUGAUACUGGAUGUCUUGAGUGCAGUUGAGGCAGGCGGAAUUCGUGGUGUAGCGGUGAAAUGCUUAGAUAUCACGAAGAACUCCGAUUGCGAAGGCAGCCUGCUAAGCUGCAACUGACAUUGAGGCUCGAAAGUGUGGGUAUCAAACAGGAUUAGAUACCCUGGUAGUCCACACGGUAAACGAUGAAUACUCGCUGUUUGCGAUAUACGGCAAGCGGCCAAGCGAAAGCGUUAAGUAUUCCACCUGGGGAGUACGCCGGCMACGGUG
rnacentral:rRNA from 1 species